UAUGUAUAUAUAUAUAUAUUUUAAGGCUCACCUGAGGACAUGGGUUUUUUUAUUGAUGGAGACAGAGAGAGAGAGAGAGAGAGAGACA